AUGGGGCGCAUCGCAUCUUCUCCCGUUCGGCUCCUUCUCACGCGACUGUCGUUUCUUCUCCUUCACCGACGGCCGGCGGCCACCUCCACUCAACCACCGCCGCCGGCCGGACACCAUCUCCUUCCUUCUUCUAUUCACACCGCAGCCAAGGAAUUUUGCCUCUACCACUCAGUCUUCUCUCUGUUCGCGACGUCCUCUGUGCUCGCGGCAUUUCCUCCUCGCGCGGGCUAGGGUUCGCUACAGAUUCAACAGGCGACUUCAUUCCUCCGAGUUUUGAGUUCUAGCAGCAACAUCUUCUCCAGAUUUGGUCAGCACAGCAGACUUCAAUUCCAGCACUACUUCCUUCAUCCGGACCAGAUUUGGCCAGUCACAGCUCCACCUUUUCUUCCACAGCAGUCUUCAAGUUUGAUCAGCAAUUCUUCAACAAAUCUAGACAUCUUUUGUUUGUUGCAGUUUCUUCACUUGAUUCGAAUUUAUAGUGAUGUUUCUUUUAGUUGAUUGUUUGAUGCUUGUAUUGAAUUGUUCUCCCUUGUUUUAGAUUUGCACGUACUCAUGUCAUUUCGAUUUAUGCUCAUAAGGUGUUCGACAAAAUGUUUCUUCCAACAGUAGGUUUAAAUUCGUGCACUUUAUUUCACUUAAUGUUUGCUUGUCUUAUCUUUUGCAAUUGCUAUAAGUUUUGUUCUUCAUUUGAAUGCAAUUAGGCUAGGGUAGAUUAGCUUUCUUUAAUGCUCUAAGUUACAUUCCAUGCUUAGUUUCAUUACAUGCUUACUUUAUGUUGUCUUUAAUUUCCUUGCAAUCAUAGUUUAAGUUAGACUAGGUUUUCUUAUUUCCAUCGUCUUUCAUUUACUACGUAGGUUCAUUUAAUACUUUUCUCUUUCAUUCCUUAGUUUAGUUCCGUUAAUGGUCCUUUGCUUCUGACUGAUUAAUAUCUUUCUAGUUCCUUUGCUAUUUGAAUUUUGGUGUAUAUGCAAGAUCUAAUGAUUUUAAAUCACAUUUUCAGAUUUGACUUAAUGUGUAGUGUCCAUCUCCAUUCAGUCCCUUAGUAGAUCAAGAAUGUCAUGCUAUAGAAUGUACCUCUUUUUUAUUGGAGAAGAUGAUUCUGUUUCCAUUUUGAUAUCAGGUUCAUAAGCAGGGUGUUGCACUUGGAAGAUCUGUUGACUUGACAAAGUUUGAUGGUUAUGACCAAUUGAUCGAGGAGUUAGAUCAGCUAUUUGAAUUCAAAGGAGAAUUGAUGACUCCAAAUAAAAAUUGGAUGAUUGUAUUUACUGAUAAUGAGGAUGAUAUGAUGCUUGUUGGAGAUGACCCUUGGCAAGAAUUUUGUGCUAUGGUCCGUCAGAUUUUUAUAUACCCAAAAGAGGAGGUCUAGAAGAUGGAUUCAAGUACCUUGCACCCAAAAAAUGAAGAUUGUCCUAACAACUGGUGUUGUUUUAUGUUAUUUGCCUACUACCAAUGCAGUUUAACUGAUUUUACAUUGACUGAACAAGGUUGAUUUUAUUUAGGUCUAGUGAAAAUACUGAAGAAGUAUGACAAGAGAACAGGAGCACUUAUCAGGCAGCCCUUCAUCGAAAAGGUGCUGCAGUAGCCAUUCUUUACAACUGAUCUCCUAUAUAUACAAACUCGUGAAGGAGUGUGUGGCUAUGCUCGACCACCUCUUCCCCAGCAACAACCUGUCAAUUUCAGCAGAAUGCGACGGACAAAAUGGAGUGCCAAAGCCGGCACAAUUAGGUGGGAGGGUUCCGGAGUUAGAGGAGAUUAAAUAUAUGCAGAGCUUAUACAUGAAGAGCACCGUAGCAGCGCUACGGUCCUUGAAACAGAUUAGGAGCAAAAGUUCAACAGUCAAAACAGAUUAGAAAAUCUCGUGUUAUAUUAUUCUACCUUUGUUUUAAUAGUGUUAUCAUUUUGUUGGUUGCUUAUGAAAUUUUGUUGGUUG